AGAGUUUGAUUAUGGCUCAGGAUGAACGCUGGCGGCGUGCUUAACACAUGCAAGUCGAACGAAGCACUGGUUUGAAGUUUCGGACAGAUAGACCUUUGACUUAGUGGCGGACGGGUGAGUAACGCGUGGGCAACCUGCCGUAUGCAGGGGGACAACAGUUGGAAACGACUGCUAAUACCGCAUAAGCGCACGGGGACGCAUGUUUCUGUGUGAAAAGCCUUAACGGCAUACGAUGGGCCCGCGUUGGAUUAGGUAGUUGGUGAGGUAACGGCCCACCAAGCCGACGAUCCAUAGCCGACCUGAGAGGGUGACCGGCCACAUUGGGACUGAGACACGGCCCAAACUCCUACGGGAGGCAGCAGUGGGGAAUAUUGCACAAUGGGGGAAACCCUGAUGCAGCGACGCCGCGUGAGUGAAGAAGUAUUUCGGUAUGUAAAGCUCUAUCAGCAGGGAAGAAAAUGACGGUACCUGACUAAGAAGCCCCGGCUAACUACGUGCCAGCCGCCGC
rnacentral:rRNA from 1 species